UACGUAGGGGGCAAGCGUUAUCCGGAUUUACUGGGCGUAAAGGGAGCGUAGACGGCGGUGCAAGCCAGAUGUGAAAGCCCGGGGCUCAACCCCGGGACUGCAUUUGGAACUGUGCUGCUAGAGUGUCGGAGAGGCAGGCGGAAUUCCUAGUGUAGCGGUGAAAUGCGUAGAUAUUAGGAGGAACACCAGUGGCGAAGGCGGCCUGCUGGACGAUGACUGACGUUGAGGCUCGAAAGCGUGGGGAGCAAACAGG
rnacentral:rRNA from 1 species